CAGUCGCCACGGUAAUACAGAGGUCCCAAGCGUUGUUCGGAAUCACUGGGCGUAAAGGGUGCGUAGGCGGCGCGGAAAGUCAGGGGUGAAAUCCCGGAGCUCAACUCCGGAACUGCCUUUGAUACUCCCGCGCUUGAGAACUGGAGGGGAGACCGGAAUUCACGGUGGAGCAGUGAAAUGCGUGGAUAUCGUGAGGAACACUAGUGGCGAAGGCGGGUCUCUGGACAGUAUCUGACGCUGAGGCACGAAGGCCAGGGGAGCGAACGGGAUUAGAUACCCCCGUAGUCCCUGUCUCUUAUAC
rnacentral:rRNA from 1 species